AUAACCGCCGAAUUCUUACGCACCUAAGAAGCGGGGGACCCGCCUACCAUGGGUGAAUUGAUCUCGAAACAGAGUGAUCAUAGGGUACCUUCAACCGAAUCCUUAGCUAACCUCGCAGGCAUUGGAAGGAGUA
rnacentral:sRNA from 1 species